GAUUUUGCCGGUUGCAUCAGCUGUGCGGUAUCUUUGCCGUGGGUCAGUGGCUGGAGAACAGGGACGGAGGGACAGCGGGGGAUUAUGACCGAGAACGUAACAGACCAACUGGGAAACAUGAGCCUGGAGAAGCAGCCAAAGGUCAAUGGAGGAAAGCUCAAAGAAGGAGGGAAGAAGAAAGGCAAGGAUGGAUCAGGAGAUGGGGGCCGCAGUGAGAUGAAGCUGUGGCCUGAGUACAUCAAUCAGCGGCUCAAAAUAACGAAAUAACGAAAUAAGCUGAAAGCGGAACACGAUGCCUUGCUGGCAGAUAAAGCGGCAAAGGAGAGCAAAGCUAUUAAAGUGACACUACCUGAUGGGAAACAAGUAGAUGCAGAGUCCUGGAAAUCCACACCCUACCAAAUCGCUUGUGGGAUCAGUCAAGGUCUGGCUGACAAUACUGUAGUCGCUAAAGUGAAUGGCAGUGUCUGGGACCUGGAUCGCCCACUGGAGGAAGACUGCACACUGGCACUUCUUAAAUUUGAUGAUGAGGAAGCCCAAGCGGUGUACUGGCACUCAAGCGCACACAUAAUGGGAGAAGCUAUGGAGCGGGUUUAUGGUGGAUGUUUGUGCUAUGGUCCCCCUAUUGAGAAUGGCUUUUAUUAUGACAUGUAUCUGGAAGACGGGUAUGUUAUACAUUUGUUUGG